AUCGAAAGGGAAUCGGGUUAAUAUUCCCGAACUCGGACGUGGAUAUCGGUGCUUGCACCAGAUGCGGUAACGCAAACGAACCCGGAGACGCUGGCAGAAGCCCUGGGAAGAGUUCUCUCUUCUUUGUUAGGGACGAAUUCCGUGGAAUCGCUUCGCGCGGAGAUACGGAUGAUGUUCCCGUAAAGCAUCGCGGUUUUGCGGUGUCCGGUGCGCUUCUUCUGGCCCUUGAAAAUCCGGGUAAGAGAUUGAUUUUCACGCCGAAUCGUACCCAUAUCCGCAGCAGGUCUCCAAGGUGAACAGCCUCUAGUCUUUGAACAAUGUAGGCAAGGGAAGUCGGCAAAUUAGAUCCGUAACUUCGGGAAAAGGAUUGGCUCUAAGGGCUGGGCCGUUCGAGCUCCGGUUAGAAGCGAUGGUCG
rnacentral:rRNA from 1 species